rnacentral:tRNA from 1 species
UCCCUGGUGGCUUGGACAGUAAAGCGUCUGCCUGCAAUGCAGGAGACCGGGGUUCAAUCCCUGGGUCGGGAA